AUGAGCCUGAGAUGUCCGAUAAUUCUGCAAUUUUGAACCUACAUUUUUUUGAACGGGACUUUGAGAGUUUUUAUGAUGUCAAGCCGUCGAGAACGGACGAUUGAAUAUCAGCUGAGAAGACCCACCUGGCGUUUGCUAGGCGUCAAAAUAGUAGAACCGGCAUUUUGGGUCUUUC
rnacentral:other from 1 species